UGCAUGGUUGUCGUCAGCUCGUGUCGUGAGAUGUUGGUUAAGUCCGCAACGAGCGCAACCCCUAUUGUUAGUUGCCAUCAUUCAGUUGGGCACUCUAGCGAGACUGCCGGUAAUAAACCGGAGGAAGGUGGGAUGACGUCAAAUCAUCAUGCCCCUUAUGACCUGGGCUACACACGUGCUACAAUGGUUGGUACAACGAGUUGCGAGUCGGUGACGGCGAGCUAAUCUCUUAAAGCCAAUCUCAGUUCGGAUUGUAGGCUGCAACUCGCCUACAUGAAGUCGGAAUCGCUAGUAAUCGCGGAUCAGCAUGCCGCGGUGAAUACGUUCCCGGGCCUU
rnacentral:rRNA from 1 species